AUCAGGUAGGGAUACCCGCUGAACUUAAGCAUAUCAAUAAGCGGAGGAAAAGAAACCAACAGGGAUUGCCUCAGUAACGGCGAGUGAAGCGGCAAGAGCUCAAAUUUGAAAGCUGGCUCCUUCGGGGUCCGCAUUGUAAUUUGCAGAGGAUGUUUCGGGAGCAGCCCCCAUCUAAGUGUCCUGGAACGGACCGUCAUAGAGGGUGAGAAUCCCGUAUGGGAUGGGGUGUCUGCGCCCAUGUGAAACUCCUUCGACGAGUCGAGUUGUUUGGGAAUGCAGCUCUAAAUGGGUGGUAAAUUUCAUCUAAAGCUAAAUAUUGGCCGGAGACCGAUAGCGCACAAGUAGAGUGAUCGAAAGAUGAAAAGCACUUUGAAAAGAGAGUUAAAAAGCACGUGAAAUUGUUGAAAGGGAAGCGCUUGCGAUCAGACUCGCCUUGGGGGUUCAGCCGGCAUUCGUGCCGGUGUACUUCCCCCAGGGCGGGCCAGCGUCGGUUUGGGUGGCUGGUCAAAGGCCCUUGGAAUGUAACGCCUCUCGGGGCGUCUUAUAGCCAAGGGUGCCAUGCAGCCUACCUGGACCGAGGAACGCGCUUCGGCUCGGACGCUGGCAUAAUGGUCGUAAGCGACC
rnacentral:rRNA from 1 species